UAGCGUAUAUUUAAGUUGUUGCAGUUAAAAAGCUCGUAGUUGGAUUUCGGUUAAGAGCGACCGGUCCGCCGUUUGGUGUGCACUGGUUGGUUUUAACUUCCUGUAGAGGACGUGCUCUGGGCUUAACGGUCUGGACUCGGAGUCUACGUGGUUACUUUGAAAAAAUUAGAGUGUUCAAAGCGGGCUUACGCUUGAAUAUUUCAGCAUGGAAUAACGCUAUAGGACUCCUGUCCUAUUUCGUUGGUCUCGGGACGGGAGUAAUGAUUAAGAGGAACAGUUGGGGGCAUUCGUAUUUCAUUGUCAGAGGUGAAAUUCUUGGAUUUAUGAAAGACGAACUUCUGCGAAAGCAUUUGCCAAGGAUGUUUUCAUUAAUCAAGAACGAAAGUUGGGGGCUCGAAGAUGAUUAGAUACCAUCCUAGUCACAGCCAUAAACGAUGCCGACUAGGGAUUGGCGGAUGUUAAUUGAUGACUCCGCCAGCACCUUAUGAGAAAUCAAAGUUUUUGGGUUCCGGGGGGAGUAUGGUCGCAAGGCUGAAACUUAAAGGAAUUG
rnacentral:rRNA from 1 species